rnacentral:rRNA from 1 species
CCUACGGGAGACAGCAGUGAGGAAUAUUGGGCAAUGGAGGCAACUCUGACCCAGCCAUGCCGCGUGAGUGAAGAAGGUCUUCGGAUUGUAAAGCUCUUUCGGAUGUGACGGUGAUGACGGUAGCAUCUAAAGAAGCUCUGGCUAACUUCGUGCCAGCAGCCGCGGUAAUACGAAGGGGGCAAGCGUUGUUCGGAAUUACUGGGCGUAAAGGGAGUGUAGGCGGUUUAGUAAGAUAGUGGUGAAAUCCCAGGGCUUAACUUUGGAAUUGCCAUUAUAACUAUUAGACUAGAAUGACAGAGAGGAUAGUGGAAUACCCAGUGUAGAGGUGAAAUGCGUAGAUAUUGGGUAGAACACCAGUGGCGAAGGCGACUAUCUGGCUGGACAUUGACGCUGAGGCUCGAAAGCAUGGGGAUCAAACAGGAUUAGAUACCCCUGUAGUC